CCCAGUAGCGGCGAGCGAACGGGGAGGAGCCCAGAGCCUGAAUCAGCAUGUGUGUUAGUGGAAGCGUCUGGAAAGGUGCGCGAUACAGGGUGACAGCCCCGUACACAAAAGCGCAUGUGCUGUGAGCUCGAUGAGUAGGGCGGGACACGUGGUAUCCUGUCUGAAUAUGGGGGGACCAUCCUCCAAGGCUAAAUACUCCUGACUGACCGAUAGUGAACCAGUACCGUGAGGGAAAGGCGAAAAGAACCCCGGCGAGGGGAGUGAAAAAGAACCUGAAACCGUGUACGUACAAGCAGUGGGAGCACAGGUUUACCUGUGUGACUGCGUACCUUUUGUAUAAUGGGUCAGCGACUUAUAUUCUGUAGCAAGGUUAACCGAAUAGGGGAGCCGGAGGGAAACCGAGUCUUAAUUGGGCGUUAAGUUGCAGGGUAUAGACCCGAAACCCGGUGAUCUAGCCAUGGGCAGGUUGAAGGUUGGGUAACACUAACUGGAGGACCGAACCGACUAAUGUUGAAAAAUUAGCGGAUGACCUGUGGCUGGGGGUGAAAGGCCAAUCAAACCGGGAGAUAGCUGGUUCUCCCCGAAAGCUAUUUAGGUAGCGCCUCGUGAAUUCAUCUCCGGGGGUAGAGCACUGUUUCGGCUAGGGGGCCAUCCCGGCUUACCAACCCGAUGCAAACUGCGAAUACCGGAGAAUGUUAUCACGGGAGACACACGGCGGGUGCUAACGUCCGUCGUGAAGAGGGAAACAACCCAGACCGCCAGCUAAGGUCCCAAAGUCAUGGUUAAGUGGGAAACGAUGUGGGAAGGCCCAGACAGCCAGGAUGUUGGCUUAGAAGCAGCCAUCAUUUAAAGAAAGCGUAAUAGCUCACUGGUCGAGUCGGCCUGCGCGGAAGAUGUAACGGGGCUAAACCAU
rnacentral:rRNA from 1 species